ACUCAAUAGAUACCCGGGUAGUCCUGGCCUUAAACGAUGGAUGCUUGGUGUCUGGAGUUUUAUAGUCUCCGGGUGCCGUAGCUAAACGCGUUAAGCAUCCCGCCUGGGGAGUACGGUCGCAAGACUGAAACUCAAAGGAAUUGACGGGGGACCCGCACAAGCGGUGGAGCAUGUGGUUCAAUUCGACGCAACGCGAAGAACCUUACCUGGGCUAGAAUGCCUCUGACAACCCUAGAGAUAGGGCUUCCUAGGGAAACCUAGGCAGAGUGCAAGGUGCUGCAUGGCUGUCGUCAGCUCGUGUCGUGAGAUGUUGGGUUAAGUCCCGCAACGAGCGCAACCCUUAUCGAUAGUUGCUAGCGGUUCGGCCGAGCACUCUAUUGAGACUGCCGUUGACAAAACGGAGGAAGGUGGGGAUGACGUCAAGUCCUCAUGGCCUUUAUGUCCAGGGCUACACACGUGCUACAAUGGCAAGUACAAAGCGCUGCAAACUCGCGAGAGGGAGCCAAUCGCAAAAAGCUUGUCUCA
rnacentral:rRNA from 1 species